rnacentral:rRNA from 1 species
AUGAAGGCCAGGGGGCCCACUCCCUGUCCACGAGGGUGGGCCCCCCCUAGGGUGCGCCCCCUACCUCGUGGGCCCCCUGCUGGCUCUCCGAUGACCAUCUUCUGCUAUAUGAAGCCUUUCGUCGAGAAAAAAAAUAAGAAGCAACCUUUCAGGACGAAACUCCGUCGCCACGAGGCGGAACCUUGGCGGAACCAAUCUAGGGCUCCGGCAGAGCUGUUCGGCUGGGGAUACUUCCCUCCGGGAGGGGGAAAUCAUCGCCAUCGUCAUCACCAACGCUCCUCUCAUCGGGAGAGGGCAAUCUCCAUCAACAUCUUCACCAGCACCAUCUCAUCUCAAAACCCUAGUUCAUCUCUUGUAUCCAAUUCUUGUCUCCAAGUCCGGGAUUGGUGCUAG